ensembl:lncRNA
UUCCUUCCUUCCUUCCCUCCUCUCUCCGUCCCUCCGUCCCUCCCUCCUUCCCUUCCUUAAUUCUGGGUUAUGUCUUUACUAAGACAAUUUUGAAUUUUGGAUUUGUUUACCAGUCUUCUAUAACCCUUCAGUAACCCUAACACAUCUACAGAUUUUAUCCAUUAACUUUGAAGUGCAUAUGUUUAAUGAAAUGUUGAAGACAGUUGGGCCUGAAAUCUCAGAGGAAACCAGCUUGAAAGGAAGACCCUUUUUGGUACUGACAGCUAUUCUUACAGAAGAGCUUUUCAGACCACAUACUGUCUUUUAUGAUUUUUUUCAUCCAGAUGACAUUUCUCUUAUUUUCCUCUGAUAAUUGAAUAUGUAAAAUACAAAAAGCCUCCUUGAACUCAGAACAUGGCAAAUUUUGUUUUUCUUUAUUCAGUAUUCCAGUUAUCCUGUCCAAGAAGGAAAUUAACUUGGUUUGACAUAAUUUGUUCUUGAAAAGUCUAUUUUGGCUAUUUUUAUUAUUCUGCAUAAUUACCAUUGGAACAGUACAGUUGGAAGGAACCCACAAAGAUCAUCGUGUCCCUGCUGCCUGACUGCUGGAGGGCUAACCAAAAGUGAAAGCACGUCAUUAGUAAGGGCAUUAUCCAAACUUCUUGAAUGCAGAAGCCUUGUAAGAUAGGACAGCCCCAAGUGUCUCAGCCUUUCUUAUAAGGGAGAUGCUCCAGACUCCUCAUCAUCUGUGUGGCUCUCUACUGGACUCUAUCCAGCAGUUCCCUGUCUUCCUUGAACUGGGAGCUCAAAAGCUGUUGUUUUCAAGAAAUUAAUGAGUUUGAAAAUGAAAAUAAAUUCCUCACUGAAUAUUUGUUACACUGUUGUCAGUUUUUCAGAAGCUUCAAUGUUCAGAUUCUUUAACAGUAGGGGAAAUCUUCAAAAAGCAAAUAGGUUUUUUAAAAGACAGAUAUAUUUGGAAAAUUUAUGUCUUAUUUUUUCUUUUUCUUUUUCCUUUUUUUCCCUUUUUUUCUUUUCUUGUAGUGCCAUGGGAAAUAGCGGGAGGCAAUAUGAGAUGUUUUAGCUAUAAAUGUCUGUCUUAUGAACAUCUUACUGAAGAUGCUAUGAGCUUCUUAGACAUAUAGACUAAGAAGUGCCAUCCAGAGGAGGUCCAUGUGCAAAAUUUAGCAUUCUAAUUUCUGAUCUACAUGUAAAUAUUCCCUGGAAAAUGUAUAUACAUUACAAUAAUUUGUAAAAGCAGGCUUGUUGUGUGUGGCAGAUUUACUGUGGAUACUACUGUUUCUCUGAAAUAGUGCUACAACUGAAAACGCAACAUCAAAAUUGAAGCAGAAGACGGCUAGCAUUUGGGUCCCGAACUGAUUUGAAAGUGUCACAUGGUCUGGAAUGUCUUUUUCAGUGUUUUUUGGUUUUUUUUUUCCACUGUGCUACUGGAUCUUCUAGUACAGCAGCAAACUGAUCUACUUGCGCGAAUAGUUUCAAAGUCACAGGGUUUUAGAAAGCACCAAUGAUACCUAGUAUUGUUGCUGUAAUUUCAGAAAUGUUAUAAGUCAGGGUUUUUCUUCAUCAUUAAAACAUGUUCUGUUGUUAAGUUAGAAGAAUACUACAGGAUGUGGAUCCUGUUGUUUGGAAAACAAGGAAUUGAGGUGUGAGAAAUUAAUGGAAAUUCACAUUUACAGGAAAAAAAAAAAGCCUAGUUUCUGGAAUGGUACUGGAAAUUGUUUGCUGAAUGGUUGUUAAGAAGUUUAAUGUUUCCUGUAUGUUAGUCUGUCUUUAGACCUGAAAAUAAUGUUGUCUGCUUUUUUAUUUAUAUGUGACAAGACUUAGAAGUAUCUUUGAUUCAUGAGCAGAAACAGCAGAAAGAAGAUGAUAAAGAAUAACUCUGGUUAUAAAUUAAAGUUAAUAGACUUUUUUUUUUCUUUUAAACCCACAUCUUUUGUUAACAGAAUUUUUUCUGCAUUGUUACUGAUGCCUUCAUGCCUGAGAAGUUUUAUUUGCCUGUGUGCAAAUGGAGCAACUGUAUGAAAUUAAAGUAAAAUGCUGCUCUAACUUAGCUGUUAGGUUGCAAAGUUAGCACACUGAUUUUUUUCUUCUGGUACAUGUUCUUUUUAUAAAGGAACUUUAUCUUGUGGCUAUUGAUAUAUUGCAGAUGUAAAUUUUAUUAGACAGUAUAGGAAGAAAAUAAUAGAAUCUAUGAACAGGCAGUCACUAUCAGCAAAUUCUAUUAGCAAACAGAUAAAUUUCAAGCCAGCUUAUUGUUUUUUAGAGAGGUUUUGAUUAUUUCAGGAGACCAAAAUUGACUUAGGUAAGAUUAUCCUCAUCACUUAGAUUGAAAGAGAGUACUUUGCACUGACUAGAAAAGGAUGUAAAGUUUUACGUAUGUGUUUUUGUAUGUGUCCUGAUUCACAAGCAAAACAAUGAGCACUAGGCACAAUAAGAUGUAAAUAACCCUGUCAGGUCUUGGUGGCAAGUGUCAGUCUUCUCCUAGAGCUGGGUAGUGCACACACCCUCCACAGCACUAUUUAAUGUCACAGUCAAGACACCUCCAGAUGCCAGUAAAUUGUCAGGACGUCUUAGUCCUUUUAGGAAAACUAAUUUAUUGAACACUGCUGUAGGACAAUAUAUAGGAAAUAUAUGCCAGGAAAUAACUGGUACUGGAAACAGACAAAAGCAGGUAAAGGAGGUGGAUGUUGACACAGGUUCCCGGUAUAGACUAGAUAGAUGAGAGUUAUAAACUGGAGGCAGUAUCACUAUCUCACCUGUGCUGCCACUGCAGCUAGUUAAUGAGGUAAUUUCAUAUAUUCUUUGAAUGCAAAACAGAAUAGAAGCAUUACUGUUGAAUUUUCUUUAAGGCUCAGGCACCUGCUCAGUGCUUUGUGCAUGCUGCUGCCAACAGUUUACAUUAUAGAAGUACCACUGUUUUGAUCAAUUGCUUGUUGUCCUAAUAAGGGUGCAUACAACCUCUGCUUUGCAAGAGUACUACAAAAUAAACAGUUUUUUGAAUCCAACAAAUCUCAGUUUUAAAAGCUUUUGUAAAUCAAUUUGGUUAUGUCAUAUAGUUUCAUUGGAAAAUGUGAAAACAACACUUGUUACAGUGAGCUAAGCUUGCAAAGGGCAGCAUGCUAUUAUUUUUACAGGCCAAUACUUUCCAUUUUCAGUUCCUGGGGCUCGCAAUUGGGUUUGAAUGACAAAUAUUUUGCACAUGACCGUGUAGGUGCAUAAGUGUUCAGCUACAGGCGUAGGGGCCCAAGGACACACACAGUCCUGCAGGGCUCUUGAAUGUCCCUGCAACCUUUGACUGAAGGCUUCAUUUGCCCAGUUCCAAGUUUCUGGUGCCUGACUGAGCCCUGGUACUGGGGUACUGGCCCCUAGUCCUGUUCCCGGUUAUUCACUGAGUUUCCUGACUGGACUUUGGCCAUGACUUGUCACCAACCAGUUCUACUUGCCUGCCACUAGGUCAGUGACAUCACCUGUGGGUGCAGGCAGCACCCAAACCUCACAACAAG